rnacentral:lncRNA from 1 species
UGGGAGCUGGGCAGGUGCUCAAAGCGGGCAGUGCAGGCUGCCCAGCGUGCCCAGCUCCCAGGAUGCACCAUGUGACCCAGGCCCCCUCCUGCCCUGCUUGCGCUGGCGAGGGGCCGUGGCUGGGAAAUAGCUGUGACCUUCCGCAGCCAGCUUGGCAGCGCUUGGGGCCAAGAGGCCUACGUGCAUGCCGGCUGAGUCCCCUCACCGUGCAGGGCUGGCUAUUUUGGACGUGGCCUCCCGAGGCCAGGUCAGAGCUCUUUCGCUGGGCAGUGGCUAAGCGUGGGCUCUUCCUUUUCUGUGACACAGCAGAGGUGUACAUGCCUGCUGCCCUGUCCAGGGCGUCUGGGUAUGGUGGAAGUGGCCCCAAGGUCCAGCCACCCUCAGGGACCACAAGCUUCCUGGACACCCUGCUGACAGGGUCCCACUGUGGAGGAACAGGCCGGCCCAGCUCCCCACCUCCCAAGUGAGCAUGGGUGGCUGGGUGGGCGUGAGGGAUUGGCUCCCCUGCUAGAGGGCAGGGCUCUUAACGGAAGCUGCUGCUGGCAGGUGUGUUAUAACAGAGCUCUGGGGUGGGAGGCUGGGGGCAGGGAGGGUUAGGGCCGUCAGAACACGGCUCCCUCCUGCCCAGGGCAAGGUGGGGCCACGUGUGCGCAUGUGAGUGGGGCACCUGGUCUGGGUGUGGCCUGGGAACCUGCAUGUUACAGACGCCAUGGCUUUGGAAACACUCAGGAGUCCAGCUGUGUCUGUUCCAAGAUGGGUCAGGGUUGCCGCAGGGAGGGCAGUGACUGGUCCACA